rnacentral:lncRNA from 1 species
AAUUGAUUAAGUCAAAGAUAUGGACUUUAGUCUAAAAUUUUUUUCACUAUUUUAUUUGAAUUGGUGGCCUCUACCUCCAAUUCGAAGAAUUAUACUAAUUCCUUAGUGGGUACUAGAAUCCUCAUAAGCUGCACAUGGGCUCGAGUGUGGCUCGACCAACUUUUUUACACCCAUGAGUAGUUUCUUAAUCAAUUAUUUUAUCAAACAAUUUCUAAUAGUUAAUUUUGCCCC